AUUGAACGCUGGCGGCAGGCCUAACACAUGCAAGUCGAGCGGUAGAGAGGAGCUUGCUUCUCUUGAGAGCGGCGGACGGGUGAGUAAUGCCUAGGAAUCUGCCUAGUGGUGGGGGAUAACGUUCGGAAACGGACGCUAAUACCGCAUACGUCCGACGGGAGAAAGCGGGGGAUCUUCGGACCCCGCGCCAUUAGGUGAGCCUAGGUCGGAUUAGCUAGUUGGUGAGGUAAUGGCUCACCAAGGCGACGAUCCGUAACCGGUCUGAGAGGAUGAUCAGUCACACUGGAACUGAGACACGGUCCAGACUCCUACGGGAGGCAGCAGUGGGGAAUAUUGGACAAUGGGCGAAAGCCUGAUCCAGCCAUGCCGCGUGUGUGAAGAAGGUCUUCGGAUUGUAAAGCACUUUAAGUUGGGAGGAAGGGUAGUAACCUAAUACGUUGCUACUUUGACGUUACCGACAGAAUAAGCACCGGCUAACUUCGUGCCAGCAGCCGCGGUAACAC
rnacentral:rRNA from 1 species